rfam:Calypte anna contig3935, whole genome shotgun sequence.
CCAAAGGCUCUUUUCAGAGCCACCCACAAGGUCAAAAAAGAGUUGU